rnacentral:rRNA from 1 species
UCGGCUCUCGCAUCGAUGAAGAACGUAGCGAAAUGCGAUACUUGGUGUGAAUUGCAGAAUCCCGUGAACCAUCGAGUCUUUGAACGCAAGUUGCGCCCGAAGCCUUUAGGCCGAGGGCACGCCUGCCUGGGCGUCACAC